rnacentral:lncRNA from 1 species
ACCAGAAACAGUAAUUUACUGGAGAGCAUUAAUCAGUAUUUUUUAAAUGGGAUUUACACUUAAAUGCUGAGUCAAGUAACAGCCUAUCAGUACAGACAGUAGAAGUAAAAGCAACUAGUUUGGGGAACAUCAAAAAUAGUGAUGCCUACUUCUUGGUAUAUCUCAUGCAGUUCAAAGAAUCAGCCUCCAGACAUUUGCAUUUAUCAGCCAAAUUUCAUUAAUCGCUUGUGGAGAAACAGAUCAGAUGUUUUUGGAAGAGGAGAGAAGAGAAGGUGAAGAGUGUCUCACUUAUCCAAACAUAAACAACUGCAUUGUCUAUGUUGGUGUUCCACUUUUAACUAGUUGAAUCUGCAGUAAAGUAAGGUGUAGUUGAGAUAUUUAUUCUUAAUGAGGAAAUGUCUCUUUUAUUUAUUUUUUAAUUUAUUUGUUCUAACAGUGCUUCUAUGGCAUUGAAUACCUGUUAUUAUAAUUGUGUAUUCUUAUAUAAUCUUAGAACAAUUUCUAAAUAGUUGGUGCUACUGAUAAAUAGAAGGCAGCCAUUUGUUUGAGAGGCAUUCAGAAGGAUGUAAUUAUCCAGAAUAUCCAGACACAAAGAACUUCACCUAGGUGAAGCAGGUUCAGGCAUAGCUAAAGCUGAAGUAAAGUUUGGUUUUAAAUUGCAAAGGUAAAAUGUAGGUCAAAAGCUUGUUCCCGUUGCUCUCAGCUGAUUUAAUCAACCUCACUGAGGAGUAACUCAAAUAGCAUUUGGCCUUUGGAUCAGUGGUGUGGCCUAGUAGUCUGGGAUUUGUUACUGCAUUGCUUGGAUUCUGGAGGUCUUAGUGCAGGUUUUGCCAGGUCUGAUUCAGGUAAAUUGAUCCCUGUGAGGAUCAAUAAUCAAAGCUGAGAAUGCAGCAAACUUCUCAGAGCAAGAUUUUUCAUCUGGUGAUUAGAUUUUGCAUAAACUGUUAAGAUAUUUAGAAUUUAAGUGAUUCCUUUUGUCAUGUUCCUAUGCACCAACACAGUAAAGUGUGGAUUUGUUUCCUACAGCAUGAGAUGCCCAGAAUAAAAGAGAAAAAAUUUAUCUGUAUACCUGUAACAGAUAUAAUGUAUAUUCUUGGAAGACCAUGAGAAAUAAGCCUUGAAAGGUAUUUAAAUUGGAAGUCAUACCUUCCAGGAGAGCUCAAAUAGUACUACACUACAGAUAAAGACUACAACAAACCAGGAUCAGUAUUACUUCAAUUAUCUUAGAUAAAAAUUCCUCAUUAGAGUGGCAACAAGAGAAUGAGGCUUAGUCAGCCAUUCCCAGCAUAUGCCAUCAUACAUGCCACUGAAAUUAGCAGGAAAAAUAAGAAGGAGAAGGUUCUUUGCUGCCAAUGUGCUGCCUGCUCUUUUCAACCUAUCUGAAUUGUUUAGCAAAAGCAGGAAAGAAUAAAAAAGCCUACAAUUGCAUUUGGUAAAACCACUGGAGCAAAAGUAGUGAUAUUUAAAGAUUCUAUUUCUGCUAUUCUGAAUAGCAGAAAUUUCUAGUCAGAAGCUUCUGAGUUUUGUUGUUUUUUUUUAAAAAAACCUCUAUUUGCCAUAAAUUAGAAUUCUUAAGCUUGAAGACUAGAUGAAUAGAAAUAGAAUGGAUUUAAUACAUUUUCCUGAUGGAUAGAUUUCCUGUGGGUGACUUGGCAGCUUUCCAAAAUCAACCUGGAAAAUUCUUAUGAAAUCAGUCAUCACCAAUAGCUGCUUACCCCAGAUGCCAUGUCUGAACUAGUCUUGUUAGUUCGCACUGUCUAAUAAAAUAUUUUUGUGAAUUUUCCACAUUAUGCACAAAUUUUCCAAAGAGCAGCAGGAUAUACUGUGCCUAAAUUCCUGGAGAUUUGUUUCCUUUAUCUCCCUAAACUCUCUCCCUCUGCUUGAGUAGCUUCUCAUCUUCCACUGAGAAUUGUGGUCAUCCCUGUGGAUUCAGAUGGUGUGUACUGUCUGGUUAGUGCAUAGCUGAAUGGCUGCCAUGCUCUGGCCAGCACAUACUUGCUGAUUAGUCAUCCUGUCGGCAAAUUAAAGAACUGAGUCCUCUCUAGUGAACUCUGUAUCUUCAGUUAUAAAUAAAUAACACUCAAGUGUAUUUAACAUAUGAGAUUCUGUGGCCUUGAGAGGCUUUUACAUAGUCUGUCAUUCCAGAAAAAAGAACGGAGAGACUUCACUUAGCUAUAUUUAGAAGAAUUUAAAUACUGAAAGCACAUGCAAAAAAAAGGUAAACAAUAGCUAGUGUUGUUUUUUUAUUUGGUUUGGUUUUUUUUUCUAUUGUUUUUUAAAAUAACUGUAAUUGAUAGAGCUUACCCAGUAGGAAGAUUUUUCAGUCCAGGCCUCUUGCUUAGGGAUCCCCCCAGCUAGUGUCGACAAGGCAGCAGAUAAGAUGAUAGUGUUCACUUCAGAAUUACACAUUUCAGUAAACUAGAACUGAUCAAAUGCUAGAACUCUGUCAUGUUCUUUCUUUACAAGUAAUUCUGAGGGGAAUAACCUGUAGCAUGAGACCUCACACCUGAGAGUUAUUCCCAGCCUCUGGAAACUACUUCUGCCUAGGGUAAGCACACCCACAUGCCCAAAACCCACAAGAAAUGGGAGUUCUUAGUCUAGAGACAAAGUCUUAGUUACCAGUUAGUGCUAACAUUUUUAAACCCUCACCUGGUCCUUCAUUUUACAAGGUGAAAGAGUAAAGUUUAAGGUUGCUGUUUUCAUCAAGGAAACUAUUUCUAUUUCUCUCUAAGUCUAUUUCACUUUUCAGUGAAGAAAUGUAACUUAAUCAUAGAAUCUUGGCACACUCAAGAUCCUGCAUUCAUUAGGCAAGUGACUCUUAGUAAUAAAAUGUUCUGUGUUUUAUUUAUUAAUCUUUGGAGCUUGAUGAUGUGAGUAGGAUGUGGACAGAUCUGAGAGGAGUUGGUCUAAAAUUCACUGUAUUUCUUAACUCUCUUGAGAUAAUGAAAUUUCUUCAUGAAAUUUCUUCAUAUUUUUAUCUGGUUUACUGCAUACUGUAAAUAAUGUAUUUGAAUACUUCUUUUUUAUUUUUUUUUUUUAAUUGUGUAUUUUUAAAGCAUUCUGCAGUAAGCAUUUUCUGCCAGCUGUAAUGCCUCCAUUAGAUCUGCUUCAGUUUUCCAAAGGUAUGUCUUUCCCUCCUA